rnacentral:lncRNA from 1 species
AGUAGUUUCGCUGCACUGAGAGCGCUCUGCUGAUGUUGCACAGCAAGGCCUGCUCGUGCUGCUCUUGUAUGCUCGGUCUGUCGAGUGUCCGGAAAGAAGAAAAAGUGUAGAGCUGCAACAACAGCAGCUUCAGGUGUUGAUGUGCUCUCAAGGAAUCCCUCCAUGUCGGAGAAUUCGGUCUCCGGUUUCUUAUAACAUAGAUAAGAUAAAUAGCAAUUUCUUAGUCUGUGUUGCUACUCAUGAAUUUUUUUGAGACCACCGAUGUGGUUAAUAAAAAGAUCAAAAAGUUCAGCAUAACUCAGACCUGAGGUGUCAACUUUGUUGGUUUAAUUCCUCUAGUGCAUGUCAGCCAAACUGAAAUUGUAAGUUGGAUUUUUUUAUGGACGAUUGAUAAUUAACAAUCAUGUUAGAUUAUGUAAAGACCCGGUGGACAGGUAAGUUGAUUUAGCCAAGCGCAGUGCAGAUUCCGUGUAGAUUUCUAAGCUAAAUUUUCCUUGCAUUACAUAGAGUGCCCAUUUUGCGGACUAUGAAUUAAGUGCUUUGGCUGGAUCUGCGCAAAUGGAAUAUGCAUACAGCUCCCAAUCUAGGAUUGGUUUCGAUUCAGAGUCGUCCAGGCAAACCUUGCAGCCAAGUGUGCGGCUCUCGGUGUCUAUGGAUCUUGAUCAUGGAGCAGAUAAUGAGGAGCUUAGGGUGCUGCAGCCUUUAUGCGAUGGGACAUUUGAGAAGCAGGUCACUGUUAUUCAAGACCAAGAAGAGAGUGAGGCUGCUGUUUCGGUUCAGAACAGGCAAGACAGAUCCCCGAGCUCCAUAAUCUGAUACCUCCCUGGCAAUAAGAAAAAUAAUUAGUUGUAGGCAAGUAACUAGAGUGUUUGGUGCAAUCUGUCUAUGGGGAAUCAUAUAUAAUUGUUUGGUUUCAGUGAUGUGACUAUAGCCUCGGAAUGAAACAUCAUGUUGUCCGAAUAUUUGUCUGUGCAUUGCAUAAUUCCAUGGAUAGUUCACGCGGGUUAAUUUGUUGUUUCAUAUGCACAUAUUGAUUAAAUAAACUCUUCCAAUAUAGUUAAUUGUACUGCUGGAUUUUGGUGGUCAUUCUAAAUGUACAAAUUUGUUGUGCGGAUCUCUGAACUAAUAUGGAUCUGUAUACGAACUAUAACUCAACACUAUAUCUAGUUCUUGCUAUCAGCUUGAUUUUGGUGGUCCAAGUGGAUAUAUACACUAGUCAUGCAGCCACACUCUGCACUAUUUGGUUAAUGAGAACGGGAGGAGCACAACACUGACCCCAUCUCUUAUCUCAGCCAGCUUCAGGUCCACCAUGGCCACCUACACCGAGCACCAUAUCACGCCCCGAGCUUCGUUGUCGACUCAUCUACACCAACCCAAUCACCACAAACAGGGAUAUCAGAACAGUUCAUGACAUAAUUAUACCACUUAUUAGUUGGGGAAAAAGGAAACUUUGAUGUACCUAGGCUUAGACAACCACGUUUUGUCCAUGAUGCACCCUUAAUAUCAAAUGUGUCAAGUAU